GACGAACGCUGGCGGCGUGCUUAACACAUGCAAGUCGAACGGGCUCUGUCUGGCUGUGUGCUGGGUGGGGUUAGUGGCGAACGGGUGAGUAAUACGUGAGUAACCUGCCCUCUUCUUUGGGAUAAGCCUUGGAAACGGGGUCUAAUACUGGAUAUUCCUGUCUGGCCGCAUGGCUGGGUGGGGAAAGUUUUUUUCGGUGGGGGAUGGGCUCGCGGCCUAUCAGCUUGUUGGUGGGGUGAUGGCCUACCAAGGCGUCGACGGGUAGCCGGCCUGAGAGGGUGACCGGCCACACUGGGACUGAGAUACGGCCCAGACUCCUACGGGAGGCAGCAGUGGGGGAUAUUGCACAAUGGGCGCAAGCCUGAUGCAGCGACGCCGCGUGGGGGAUGACGGCUUUCGGGUUGUAAACCUCUUUCGUCGGGGGACAAGGCUCUGCUUGGUGGUGGGGUUGAGGGUACCCGGUGAAGAAGCGCCGGCUAACUACGUG
rnacentral:rRNA from 1 species